rnacentral:rRNA from 1 species
CCCUUAGACGUUCUGGGCCGCACGCGCGCUACACUGACCAGUGCAACAAGCAUCCGUCCUUGGCCGACAGGCUCGGGCAAUCUUUGAACGCUGGUCGUGAUGGGGAUAGACUUUUGCAAUUUUUGGUCUUCAACGAGGAAUUCCUAGUAAACGCAAGUCAUCAGCUUGCAUUGAUUACGUCCCUGCCCUUUGUACACACCGCCCGUCGCACCUACCGAUCGAAGGUAAUGAUGAGCCCUCAGGAUUGUGGCCUCGUCGCGUCAGCGUCUUGGCUGCGAGAAUCUGUGCAAAUCCCUACCUUUAGAGGAAGGUGAAGUCGUAACA